UCCGUAGUUCGUUAACGAUUGGGUUUCGCGCUGUAAGCUCUUCCUCUAUUUCGAUUCUUUCUUCGUCGUGUUUUCUCUAGGGUUAUAUGAUUUCGAUUUCAAUAAUUCCAAGUUUUAUGAUCAAAUUCUUGUGAUCUAUUUGGCGUAAUCGAGAUUUGCAUGGUUUUUGUUGGCAAGAUUUCGAAGUUUGAUGAUGAUCUUGAUUUCACAAUCUGCUGUGUAGGGUUUCGCUGAUUGAUAUGCUCUCAUCUGGAUGAAGAUCUUAAGAGAAAUUCAAUUCUUUCACGUCAAUUUGUUUGAAUUCAUUCAUUCUUCGUUUGGAGUUGUUGAAUUAAACUGUUUGCGUUUAAUUCGUUUGCAGCGUUGUGGAGUCACCGAUUGAAGAUGAUUAGGUCAAAAGUGAUUUGCGAUUUUGUCACAACGGAUUAGAACGGUUUACGAUAAAUUUUAUUCCUUCUCUCUAUCUCUCUUUUUUCCCUUCUCUUUCUUGAUUAUAAGAUGUGCGAAUAGGACUGAAUCUUUUGAAUCCCCUUCUCUGCAGUUGUGUCUAGGAGUGAGCUUUUUUGCUUAAUUUGGUGAUGAUUCGUUCCGAUUUUUUUGUUUCGUUCCUGAAUCCUGAGCCUGAUCUUCCCGAUUUACUUUGUAACUUUGUUCAUGGUGGUUACAGGGUGAACAAUGAAGCUGUGGUCGAGAGCAUGACGGAGAAUUUAACCUUAGGUUUUCUUAUCAUUGAUAUAAUAUUAUAAUUUUAUUACUUCACGUUUUUUCUGGAUUGGUUUCUAACUAACUAAUCAGACAUAUUUGAAUGUAGAGAAUAGGAAUACUGAACACUAGAACUAAUUUGAUUUUUCAUAUGGUGGAUGGGUUUUGGCCAGAAGAUUGAGGAUCAAAUUAAUCAAUCUUGAUGUUAGAGUUUGCUUCAUAGGACCUGAAAAUAUUGUAUAGAAGUUGCUAAAUUGUGGACGGAUUUUGGAGGAUGCAUUUUGAUUUAUACAGGGAGUAAAUCUUAUUUUUGCAUGAAAUAAGAUUAAUAUACUAACAUAUAAUUCAAAUUAUACUAACAUUUUUACACUCACGAAGAUUUCAGGCUUGUUUUUUAAAAAUGUCAUAUUAGUUUCAUUUUUUAAUCAGGUAUAAAUUUUAAGCUUGUUUUCCUAACAAAAUUGGAUCUUUAGGCAAAAUUGUGGAUGUGGGAUGAUAUAUAUAUACACAGGGUCUUAAUCAUUUUCAACCGAGGUUUUGAUCAGAUGAUAACUGCAAACUGCUAAUGUUUGUGUAAUUACUUUCACACUGAUCUUUUGUGUUACUGGUUGUGUUUCUCUCUCGUUUCUACUUCUGGAUCAGGGCUAUUUGGGAGACUGAGGUUACCUGCUUACUUCUGGAUUACUCAUAGCUUAGUAAUUUGCCCUUCAACAGUGGGGAAGUUUCUUUGAAUUGAUUAUCUAUUUGAUUAUCUGCUGGAGUUCCUUUGUGUUUUGGUCAUCAGUGUUGAUUUGGGUGCCUUUUGUGUUUGUGUUGGUUUGGAGAACGCUACAAUUCUAUUGGUUUGAGACUUUACAUCUUAGUUAUAUUUACCCUUUGCAGCCAGAGAUUGCUCUUAUAGCUUCAAAUCUUCUACGUUUGUGUGCCAGCUGGGCCGUUCAAGGUGUAUCAGUUUUUUGGGUAUUGUAUUUAUCUUUUUCUCAUGAACUGCGCCUCAGUUAUUUUCCCUCUGAAUUGAAGGAACUGAAUAUGGUGCUGUUUUUCGUACCAAUUAUUCUUCUUAAGGAGCUGAAGGAACUGAUUAUUUGUGCGUCAGUUAUUUGCCUUCUGCGGCAUUGUAGUUUUGGGGAAUAUUGAAUUCUGGUAUGCUCUCAACAUCUGUGUUAUCAACUUCAUUGUCGGGAUUCUUCUGUUUCAAGACUGCACCUGUGAGGGGUUUGAGACUUCCCUCCCACUUUCUGAAUCUCCACUUUGUUCUCUUGUUAUUUACCCUCUGAAGUGCAGGAAUUUGUGAGGUUGGAUAGCAAUGCUGGGAUGGGGCUUUAUAGCAAUGUAUAGUAAUAGUAGUCUAAUUUGUUAUGAGUAGUUUACUGCUUUAUAGUUUUAAAUUUUGGAACUCAAGGCGUAAAGUUGAUCCUAAUGUAUGUACUUUUUUUUUUUUUAAUUUUGGGCAGCAGUGUCAAAAUAAUUGAAGUUCUGCAUCACGUCUGCUUUGGUGAUCUCUGUUGUUAUUCUCAGUAUUUUGUUCUUAUUCUUAGGUUAAUCCUGCGUAGCUUUCUCGAUUUACUCCUAAUAUAGUGUAUGCUAUAGGCUGGGGAAAGAUAAUGCGGAAGGUGGUGGUAGAUAUUGCGGCCACCCUGCUACUAACAACAUCCUAUUUCUUAGUUGGUAUGUCUCUCUGUGGGUUCUGGAUUUGCCUUUCUUAUGGUGUGAUUGGUGAUAGUUUCUUUGUCUUGCUCAGGAAUUUGAGGCAGCGGCAUCGUUGGGCUCUUGUUUAUGAAUUAUGAUCUGAGUCUGGGAAAUCUGCUACUCUUCUUUCACUCUUUUAUUGAUAACUUCUUAUUUGAUCAAUGAUAAGAAUUCCUGAUUUCAUAUUCUCUUCUUCACAGUGGAUACGGGGGCAGCAUAUUUGGGUCUUUUUGUUCUUGUGCUAUCUUGAAGCAUUUUGAGACAGCUUGUACUUCCCAUCUGGGUCUUGGUUUGGGGAAAUUUGCCAGCCUUCUUUCACCGUUCUGUUGAUACUUUUAUCAUGAUAUGCAAGUUUAUCUUCUAUACUAUUUUAAUUGGAUAUCUUCUUGAUCACAGAGGCUGCCUCAGUCAAUGCCAUGGAAAGUUAGAAGUUAGUUCAAACGUGAAAUUAUUGGUAUUCUCCCCGCCCUAUGUCAGCUGUAUUUGCAUGAAAUUAUUAGAUAAUCGUGUAUGACAUGAUUAAGUUCCAAAUUUACUAUCUGUGACACCACCAUUAUCAUAUUUAUGUAUAUUCGAAGUUACUGUUGUUGCUUUUAUUUUGGGAUUUCAUUGCAGGAAGAACAAAAAUUGGCAUAAGGGUUCGAGAUUUGGCUCUAGGGUAUGGAAAUGGAUUUCUAUAAUUUAUCCAUCUGAAUCAUUUAUCAGGAUACAUGAUUUAGUUUCUUUUAAUGAGUUUGUUGUUCUUGCUUCUGCUGUCUGUUUGUGAAUUAUGUUGUGUACUUGUUCUUGUGCAGUUUGGUUUGGUGUUGAAUAAUGUCAUGUAACAUCCUGAGAAGCCGCAUAAUUUGGUGAUCUUUAUUUGGAGAUGGAAUUUAAACUUAUGUGUCAUCAGUUCUGUGUAUUUCUCGUGUUUCUGUCUUAGGAUUGGGACUGCUUUGAGACUUCGAGUACCCUGCUUCACUGUUUUGUAGUUUUAGAAGUCCGGGGAUGAACAGGGAUUGAGUCCUUUGCUAUGUUUAUUGGUUUGCAGCAGGCUGGUUCCAAUGUGUCUCCGGUUAAAGAGCAGUUCAUAGAUAAAAUAUGUUUUGUCACAACGGAUUUGAACGGUUCACUGCUCUGAGGAUAAAUUUUUUUCCUUCUCUCUAACUUUCUUUUCCUUCGGUUUUUUAUCAUUAGAUGUACAAAUUGAAUCCUGAAUCUGUUGAUUCCUCUUCUCUGCAGCUUUGCGUUCUGCCUAGCAGUGAGCUUUUUGUUUAAUUUGGUGAUCUCUACUCUGAUUGUGAUUCGUUUCAUUCCAAUUUUUUUGUUCUCGUUCCUGAGCCUGAUCUUCCCUAUUUACUUUGUGACUUUUACUUGGGUUGUGUUACAGGGGAAACCAUAAAUCUGUGGUCGAGAGUGCGACGGAGAAUUCAAUCAUGGUUUUCUUAUCAUUGAUAGAACUUUAUUGCUUAACUGUUUUUUUAGAUUGGCUUCUUGUGUGGAUAAUUAACUACUCAGAUAAUUUUAUAUUUUCAUGUGAUGGAUGUUUUAUUGGCCAAAAGAUUUAAUUGAUCUUGAUGUUAGGCUUUGCAUUAUAGGACCUGAAUAUUGAUAUAGAAAGAGUUGCUAAAUUGUGGUCGGAUUUUGGAGGAUGCAUUUUGAUUUGUAAAGGACAGGAGUCAUCUCAUGAAAUGGAUAGGUUUGUACACUUAUUUCAGGCUGGUUUUUAAACGGGGCAUGUCUUAUUUAUAAGUAUCAUUUUUUUUAUCAGGUACAAAUUUUAAGCUUAUUUUUUUAUCUUGUCUGAUUUCAUGCGAAUUAUAUAUUGUGCCCUUUCUCUGCUGCAGUUUGGUGCUUGGUGUUGUUCUGCUAAGCAUCUUGCCUUUAUUGUUCGGGUGACCUUGAUCUAGGGUGUGAAUUCAUCUUUUUUUUUUUUGUAACAAUUUUAAAUGUGAAUUACUUGCACAUUGAUUUUUUGUGUCACUGGUUGUAUGUCCCUCUCAUUUCUACUUCUGGAUCAGAGCUAUUUGGGAGGCUGAAGUUACAUGCAAACAGCGGGGAAGAGAAAACAGAUGAGUGCAGUUCUUUGAAUUGAUUAUCUAUUUGUUUGUUGGAGUUCUUUUGUGAUUUGAUCAUCAGGGUUGAUUUGGGGGCCUUUGUAUUGGUUUGGAUUUGAACUAUGAGGUUUGAGACUUUCUUCUACAUCGUAGUUAUUUGCCCUUCGCAGCCAGAUAUUGCACUUUGCUUCUGAUCUGCUACGUUUGUGUGUCAUCUGGGCUGUUCAAGGCGUAUCGGUUUUUUGGGUAUUGUAUUUAUUUCGCAUUACCUGCGCCUCAGUUAUUUACCCUCUGAACUGAAGGAACUGAUUAUGGUGCUGUUUUCCUUAACAAUUAUCCUUAAGGAACUGGAGGAACUGAUUAUUUGUGUGUCAGUUAUUUGCAUUUUGGGGCAUUGUAUGUUUGGGGAAUAUUGAAUUCUGGUAUGCUCUCAACAUCUGUGUUAUCAACUUCAUUGUCCGGAUUCUUCUGUUUCAAGACUGCACCUGUGAGGGGUUUGAGACUUCCCUCCCACUUUCUGAUUCUCCACUUUGUUCUCUUGUUAUUUACCCUCUGAAGUGCAGGAAUUUGAGAUGAGUGUCAUUAUGUUUACUAGAUCUGCUUUGUUUGGAGUACAUCGCAAUACAUGAUUUUUAUGUCAUCUCCUGCUUGGACAUUGGGUUUGUGAGGUUGUAUAGCAAUGCUGGGAAGGGGCUUCAUAAGUAAUGCUUCAUGAGUGCUGGGAAGGCACUUUAUAGUGAUGUAUAGUAAUAGUAAUACUAGUCUAAUUUGUUAUGAGUACUUCUUUUUAGUUAAGUUUUGGAACUCAAGGCAUAAAAUUGAUCCUAAUAUAUAAACUUUUAAUUUUUUAUAUUUUGGGCAGCAGUGUCAAAAUAAUUUUAGUUCUGCAUCACGUCUGCUUUGGUGAUCUUUGUUCUUAUUGUCAUAUUUUGUUCUUAUUCUCAGUAUCUUGUUAGUCCUGCGUAGCUUUCGCUGGUUGAUAUGCUUUCAUCUGGAGUGAAGAUCAUAAGAAAUGGAGUUCUUUUAUGUCAAUUAGUUUGAAUUUCAUUCUUCGUUUGGAGUUGUUGAACUGUUUGCGUUUAAUUCGUUUGCAGCGUUCUGGAAUCACUGAUUGAAGAAGAUUAGGUCAGAAGUGAUGUUCGAUUCACUGCUCUGUGGAAAAUAUUUAUUCCUUCUCUCUAUCUCUCUUUUUUUCUUUCUGGUUUUUUAUUAUAAGAUGUGGUCGAGAGUACGAGGGAGAAUUCAACCUUUAGGUUUUCUUAUUAUUGAUAUAAUUUUAUUGCUUUACGUUUUUUCUGGAUUGGCUUCUGUCGCUAGAAUUCAUUUUAUAUUUUCAUGUCGUGGAUGUUUUUUAGCUAGAAGAUUGAGAUGUAGGAGGAUCAAUUUAAUCAAUCUUGAUGUUAGCGUUUGCAUCAUACUUUAAAAUAUUGAUAUAGAAGUUGCUAAAUUGUGGACGGAUUAUGGAGGAUGCAUUUUGAUCUAUAUAGGACAGGAGUAAUCUCGUUUUUGCAUGAAAUGGGUUGGUUAAUUUAAGUUAUACAAACAUUUUUACACUUAUGAAGAUUUAAGGCUGAUUUUUAAAUGGGGCAUGUCUUAUUUAUAAGUAUUAUUGAUCAUUUUUUUAUCAGGUAUAAAUUUUAAGCUUGUUUUUCUACAGAUAUCACAUCCAUCGGAGGAUACAAAAUUGGAUCUUUAUGUAAAACUGUAGACGGUAUCUUAUUCAUUUACAACUGAGGUUUUAAUCUGAUGAUAACUGCAAACUGCUAAUGUUUGUUUAAUUUCUUUCACCUGUUGUCUUUUUUCUCUUUCCUGAACGUGUAAAUUAUAAAUUGUGUCCUUUAUCUGCUGCAGUUUCGUGUUUGGUGUUGUUCUUCUAAGCAUCUUGGCUUUGUCCAUUAUUCGGGUGACCUUGAUCUAGGGUGUAAAUUUUGGUCUUUUUUUUUUUGAACAAUUUUAAAUCCGAAUUACUUGCACACUGAUCUUUUGUGUCACUGGUUGCAUGUCUCUCUCGUUUCUACUUCUGGAUCAGAGCUAUUUGGGAGACUGAGGUUACCUGCUUGCUUCUGGAUUACUCAUAGCUUAGUAAUUUACACUUCAACAGUGGGGAAGUUUCUUUGAAUUGAUUAUCUAUUUGAUUAUCUGCUGGAGUUCCUUUGUGUUUUAAUCAUCAGGGUUGAUUUGGGUACCUUUGUGUUUGUGUUGGUUUGGAGAACACUACGUUCUACUAGAACUAUGAGGUUUGAGACUGUACAUCUUAGUUAUAUUUGCCCUUUGCAGCCAGAGGUUGCUCUUUUGCUUCUGAUCUGCUGCGUUUGCGUGCCAGCUGGGCCGUUCAAGGUGUAUCAGUUUUUUGGGUGUUGUAUUUAUCUUCUUUCUCAUUAACUGCGCCUCAGUCAUUUUCCCUCUGAACUGAAGGAACUGAUUAUGGUGCUGUUUUUAGGAACAAUUAUCCUUCUGAAGGAGCUGACUAUUUCUGCGUCAGUUAUUUGCCUUCUGCGGGCAUUGUAGGUUUGGGGAAUAUUGAACUCUGAUAUGCUCUCAAUAUUUGUGUUAUCAACUUCAUUGUCGGUAUUCUUCUGUUUCAAGACUGCACCUUUGAGGGGUGUAGGACUUCCCACUUUCUGAAUCUCCACUUUGUUCUCUUGUUAUUUACCCUCUGAAGUGCAGGAAUUUGAAAUGAGUGCUGUUAUGUUUUACUAGAUCUGCUUUGUUUGGAGCACAUGCUUGGACAUCGGGUUUGUGAGGUUGUAUAGCAAUGCUGGGAAGGGGCUUUGUAUGUACUUCUUUAUAAGUGCCGGGAAGGGGCUUUAUAGCGAUGUAUAGUGAUACUAGUUUAAUUUGUUAUGAGUACUACUUUAUAGUUUUAAGUUUUGGAACUCAAGGCAUAAAAUUGAUCCUAAUAUAUAUAUCAUUCGUUUUUUUUAGUUGGUAUGUCUCUCUGGGUUCUGGAUUUGCCUUUCUUGUGGUGUGAUCGGUGAUAGUUUCUUUGUCUUGCUCAGGAAUUUGAGGCAGCAUCGUUGGGCUCUUGUUUAUGAAUGAUGAUCUGAGUCUGGGAAAUCUGCUACUCUUCUUUCACUCUUUUAUUGAUAACUCCUUAUUUGAUCGAUGAUAAGAAUUCCUGAUUUCAUAUUCUCUUCUUCACAGUGGAUACGGGGGCAGCAUAUUUGGGUCUUUUUGUUCUUGUGCUAUCUUGAAGCAUUUUGAGACAGCUUGUACUUCCAAUCUGGGUCUUGGUUUGGGGAAAUUUGCCAGCCUUCUUACACCGUUCUGUUGAUACUUUUAUCAUGAUAUGCAAGUUUAUCUUCUAUACUAUUUUAAUUGGAUAUCUUCUUGAUCACAGAGGCUGCCUCAGUCAAUGCCAUGGAAAGUUAGAAGUUAGUUCAAACGUGGAAUUAUUGGUAUUCUCCCCGCCCUAUGUCAGCUGUAUUUGCAUGAAAUUAUUAGAUAAUCGUGUAUGACAUGAUUAAGUUCCAAAUUUACUAUCUGUUACUUACCACCAUUAUCAAAUUUAUGUAUAUUCCAAGUUACUGUUGUUGCUUUUGUUUUGGGAUUUCAUUGCAGGAAGAACAAAAAUUGGCAGAAGGGUUCGAGAUUUGACUCUAGGGUAUUGAAAUGGAUUUCUAUAAUUUAUCCAUCUGAAUCAUUUAUCAGGAUACAUGAUUGAGUUUCUUUUAUUGAGUUUGUUUUUCUUGCUUCUACUGUCUGUUUGUGAAUUAUAUUGUGUACUUGUUCUUGCACUUUGGUUUGGUGUUGAAUUAUGUCAUGUAACAUCCUGCAAAGCCGUAUAAUUUGGUGAUCUUUCUUUGGAGAUUGAAUAUAAAAGUAUGUGUCAUCAGUUCUGUGUAUUUUUCGUGUUUCUGUCUUAUGGUUGGGACUGCUUUGAGACAUGAGUAUUACUGUUUUGUAGUUUUAGAAGUUGGGGGAUGAACAGGGAUCGAGUCCCUUGCUAUGUUUAUUCGUUUGCAGCAGGCUGGCGGGUCAUCACUGGUUCCAAUGUGUCUCCGGUUGAAGAGCAGUUCAUAGAUAAAAUAUGUUUUGCGUCCUAUGAUGGUUGAUUGGUCUGCAUAAAUAUAAUAUCCUCUCUCUCUCUUACUUAUUUGGGUGGCUUCAUUCAUUAUAUGUACGGAUCGAACUUUGAACUUGUUUAUCCUCUUCUUCUGCAUUGUUGGGUCGACGAGUUCUGCAUAGCAGUGAGUUUAAGUUGGUGAACUUCUUGAGAUUGUGAAUUCUUUCUGUUCUAAUCGUUGGUUGUCCUUUCGUAUUGCUUUUCCUUCUAGAUUUAAAACGAUGUGAUUUUUGCUUGAGUGUUACAGGGUAGAUAAUCUGAGGUUAGUGUAGGCGCUGUUGUGGAGAUAUAAGUCUAACCUUAGGGUUAUCAGUUAUUGAUACAUUUUUUUUUUGUUUCUUUUUCUGCCUGAGUUUUAGUUUUUGGCUUUUAACAGUGUGAUUUGGCAGUGGUGAAGAAUUGUGUUGCCGGAUCAGGUUCUUGAAUAGCUUGUUUUGCGGAUUUGAAUGGUUGACAGCUCUGGAAAAAUCUGAUUUCUUUUCUCUGUCACUUACUUACUUUGGUGCCUUUGUUUAAUUUCUUCUCUCUCUCUAUCACUUAUUUUGGUGGCUUUGUUUACAAGUUGUAUGGAUUGAACUCUGAACCUGUUUAACCUCUUCUGCUGCAGUAUUGUGUCAAGGUAGUAAGUUCAGCAUAUCGGUGAGCUGUCUGUUUAAGUUAAUAAACUCUGUUCCAAUUGUGGAUUCCUUUUUCUAGAUCUUUGGUUGUUCUUUCUUAGUGCUUUUCUUCUAGAUUUUUACAAUUAUGUGAUUUCUGCAUUUUCUUCUAGGUUUUUGCAACUGUGAUUUCUGCUUGGGUGUUACAGGGUAUAUUAUCUAUGAGGUUUGUGUCGACGCUGUGGUGGAGACUCUACCAGUGUAGCUCAACCUUAGGUUUACUAGUCAUUAAUACACUUUUUCACUGUUUCUGCUCUCUUUGCGUUGGUUCUAGUUUUGGCUUUUCAUGGUGUGAUGAUUGAAUGGUUGAAUGCUCUGGAUAAAUAUGAUCCCCCUCCGUCUCUCUCUAACUUGCUUAUUUUUGUGGCUUUGCUUGUUUAAUUUCUUCUCCCUCUCACUUAUUUUGGGAUUGAACUCUGAAACUGUUUAACCUCUUCUUCUGCAGUUUUGUGUUCAUAUAGUAUGUUCGAAUGGAUGAUGGCUCUGGAUAAAUCCCCCCUCUCUCUCAUUUAUUUUGGUGGCUUUGUUAAACUCUCUCUCUCUCUCUAUCACUUAUUUUACAAGAUAUACAGAUUGAACUCUGAACCUGUUUAACCUCUUCUGCUGCAGUGUUGUGUUUAAAUAAAAAGUUCUUCAUAGCAGUGAGCCAUCUGUUUAAGUUGUUGAACUCUAUUGGGUUGUAAAUUCUUUUUGUUCCAACCUUUGGUUCUCCUUUCUUACUGCUUUGUCUUCUAGAUUUCCUACUAAGUGCUUUCUGCUUGGGGUUACAGGGUAAAUAAUCUAUAAGGUUGGUGUGGACGCUGUGGUGGAUAUUCUUAUAGAGAAGUUCAACCUUAGGUAUAUUAGUCAUUGAUACAAUUUGUUUCUCUGUUUCAUCACUCUUUGUGUGGGUUCUAGUUUUGGCUUUCACGGUGUAAUUUGGUAGUGGUGUAGGUCUUGCCGCAUCAGGAUUUUUUAACAGCUUGGUUUGGUAGAUUCGGAAUGGUUGAUGGCUCUUGAUAAAUCUAAUUUCCCCUCUCUCAUUUACUAUCUUGAGGGAUUUGUUUAAUUUCUCUCUCUCUGAUAUAUAUAUAUAUAUAUAUAUAUAUAUAUAUAUAUAUAUAUAUAUAUCUCACACACUUAUUUUACAAGAUGUACAAAUUGAACUCUGAACUUGUUUAACCUCUUUUGCUGCAGUGUCAAGUUGAAACCCAUAGCAGUGAGCUGUCUGCUUAAGUUGGUGAACUCUAUUGGGUUGUGAAUUCUUUUUGUUUCAAUCUUUGGUUCUCCUUUCUUAGUGUUUUUUCUUCUAGAUUUACUACUCUGUCAUUUCUGCUUGGUUGUUACAGUGUAGAUAAUCUAUGAGGUGGUGUAGAUGCUGUGGUGGAGAUUCUAACAGAGAAAUUCAACCCUUAGGUUUACUAAUCGUUGAUACAUUUUUUCUCUGUUUCCUUUUCUCUUUGUGUGGGUUCUUGUUUGGGCUUUUCACGGUGUGAUUUGGCAGUGGUGGGGAUCUCCUAACUUGCCGCAUCAGGAUUUUCGAACAGCUUGGCUUGGCAGAUUCAAAUGGUUGAAGGCUCUGGAUAUUUCUAAUCCCCCCUCCUCUCACUUACUCAUUUUUGUGGCUUUGUUUAAUUUCUUCUCUCAAUCAAUUAACAAGAUGUACUGAUUGAACCCUGAACCUGUUUAACUUCUUCUGCUGCAGUGUUGUGAAAUAUUAAGUUGCGCAUAUCCGUGAGCUUUCUGUUGAAGUUUCUGAACUAUAUUGGGUUGUGAAUUCUUUUCCAAUCUUUGGUUCUUUUCUUUUGGUGCUUUGCCUUCUAGAUUUACUAUUAUGUGAUUUCUGCUUGGGUGUUACAGGGUAGAUAACCCAUAAGGCUGGUGGUGUAGACGGUGUCUAACAAAGGAGUUCAACCCUAGGUUUAUUGGACAUUGAUACAUAAUUUCUUCUGUUUCUUCUCUAUUCGUGUGAGUUCUACUUCUGGCUUUUCACGGUGUGAUUUAGCAGUGGUGUAGAUCUCCUGUCAUGUCGCAUCACAGUUUUGCAUAGCAGUGAGCUGUCUGUUUAAGUGGGUAAACUCUACUCUGCUUCUAGGUUUAGAGAAAUUUGCAAUUCUUCUGUCAUUGUUUUAUGAUAAUAUAUUAUAUCUACAACAAGAAUUCCUGAUUGGAUAUUCUCUUCAACGAUAUUAAGCAAGUUUGGUUGGGUUCUUUUUGCUCUUAUCAGUUCUUGGAAAAUUUGGGACAGCUUGGUUGGGCUAUCUUUGAUCUUAUGAUUGGCGUCUUGGUUUGGAUAAACUGCUCUACUUCUAAUAUUUUAUUCAUAUUUUUGUUAUGAUAUAUAAGAUUAAGCAUCUUCUUAUCCUUACUCUAAUUGGAUAUCCUCUUGAUCACAGAGCCUGCCUCCAUAAUUGGGAACUUGGUUCAAAGUUCAAACGUAAAACAACUUUUCCUGGGUGUAUCAUAUGUUACCUGUUGGUAUUUUCUUUUUCCUCCAUCCACUGGUUAGCUGGUUUUGCAAGAAACUAUUAGAUAUAGUGACAUGAUUAGGUUUGGAAUCUACUAUUUCUUACUGCCAUAACCAGAUUUAUCUAUAUUCUUUUUGUGGUGGGUGUUCUUAAGGGAUUUUAUAGCAGGAAGAGCAAAGAUUGGCAGGAGGGAUUUCAAUAUUAUGGUGGACCUUGUCUAGUGAAGAAGUUCUAAGUUAUACAUUGGUCAUCUCAGCAGGAGGAGCAUGGAAUAGUUGGGCUCUCUUUUGUUCUGAUCUUGUUUAGGAUUGUCUUGCUUUAAGAUAUCUGCUACUCUACUGUUUUGCUGAUACUAUGAAGUCUCCUAUCCUGCUAAUUAUUGAGGUUGUGUGGCAUCCUGCCAAGCAUCUAGCCUAGCCUCACUCAUGAUUCGGGCGACUAUAGGUUCCAGCUCUUGGUUUUUCUAUUCAGUAAUUCUACACUACUACAGUUUCAAUUUUUUGCUAUUACUUAUGAUGGCACAUAUGAGCUGGGCACUUUGCUAUUCUGCAGUUAAUAUUCGUGCAUAAUCCGGGUAACUGUUAGUUCCAGCUCUUGGUUUUUUCUAUUCAGUAAUUUCUAUUCAGUAAUUUCUUCUACACUACUACAGUUUCAAUUUUUACUAUUACUUACGAUGGUACAUGUGAACUGGGCACUCUGCUUUUCUGCAGUCAAUACUCGUGCAUAAUUCGAGUGGACAUUACCUGUAACUUCAUUAUCUUCUCAGUGAGUUCUGACAUUGUAGUUGUAUAGGUUUGAAGUUUUUUGCAAAAUAAUUAUACAGCAACAGUCGUGGAAUAAUAUGUGAUGGGUAUGGUAUUAUCUAACACGUUUAACUUUGUUUUGUUCUAUUUCUAGUGUCGGCGGUAGUUCUGUACAUCAUCUGCCUGGAUUAUUCUGGGUGUCAUCCGGCCUGUCGGAGUUCUCGUGUUUUGGGAAUAUAUUAGCUGAGACAUGAAGUUAUCUACUUUCAAGCAUGAUUUUUGAAGAUAUUUUGUUCUUUAUGAAGAGUUCUGCUGCUUGGUUUUGGAGAAAACUGCAACUUCAUUUGUUCCUUUGUUUCAGUUCUGGAUGUCAAAUGGUUUACCAAAAUCAUUAUCACCUUAGUAUACAGUUGGCAUAACAAAAAAACAAAUAAAUGAAUGUUGCAAUUUCAUGAGUUUUUUGUUCCGGUUUCAGACUUUGUAUGGUUUAUAAAAUCUUAUAUCAAUAUACUUUUGAAUAUGUCCUUUGGACAUGAGUACAUUAGUUAUUUGUGCGGUUGAUAUGCUUCCUAGUUAGCACAUUAUUCAAUUCCAUUUACGAGUUGAUUCUCAUUCAUACUUUUGAAUUGCCCUUUCAAGAUUCCUCAUUUUGCUACAGAUUUUUUGUAGCAAGAGUAUGAAGGUCUAUUCAUAUUCCUGAACAUGUAGAACUCUACAUUCACGCUAGAAGAUGAAGAAAAAAUGAUUGAGCAUUAUUUAGGUUAUAUAUGUUUUGCCAAGAACUUGACCACCUUUGUUUGAAAGAUCACGCUUUAUAUAUUUCUAAACUUCAAAUGGAUGGUAGAAGAUUGAAGAAAAAAUGAUUGAGUAUCUUUUACAGGGUUUGUGUUAUCUUUUUAGGAUCAUAUUUUAGUACGCAAUAAUUUGUUUUCGAAUAAAGUAACAUUGUCCAAUCUAUCUUUACAUUUAUGACUAACAGGAUAACUAAUUUUGUGUUCCUCUUGCUUACAAAUUUUAAAUGUAGGUUUCUAUGUCAAGAUGGGAACAUACGGGUAUUUUCAUUCUUAUAGUGAAGAAAAAUAACUGAGCAUCUUUUACAGGGUUUGUGUUAGGUUUUUAGGACCAUACUUAGUAUGCAAUGGUUGACAAGUUGGUAUUAUUAAGUAACGUUGUCCAAUCUAUCUUUAUAUCUAUGACCAAUAGUAUAUAAGUUUCUAUUCAAUGAAGUAAAACAUUAAGACAAGUUUGUUUACCUAGAUUUGGAUCCACACCUGAAAUAAUGUUUUUUAUGAUACCAUAAAUUUGUAAUCUUAUAAUCAUUUUUAAUUUACAUUUUUUUUCAUUACAUUUUUCACUCUCAUCUUAUCUCACUUUCAUGUAGAUAGAUAGUCAUAUCUUUCACUUGUGUCAUCUAUUCCAGAGAUUAUUUUUCCUAACUUAUAGUGUUUAUGAUAACCAAAUUGUUGCCAUACAAAAUGAAACGUAUAAAGUUAGAUUAAGGGUGAGGGUGCUAUUUAAGUAUCGUAACCUUAAAAUUAAUCCCUAAAUCUAAUAAUUCCUAAUCCCUAAUCCCUAACAAAUUAAUCAGAAGAAACCUAAACCUAAGAUAGAAUGAGGGAGAAAAAACGAAGGAGGGUUCUCCUACGGAACAGGAUGAUGGCUUCGCCGGAGGAGAAGAAGGAGCUUGUCCAACUUCGAAGCGUCUCGACCGGCACCUCUUCCACGUGUCGUCGCUCCUCAUCGUUGCAACUAGUCAUCGAUUCAGUUCUCCCUCCAAUAACCCAUGACAGUACCAUUCUCCCUUCCCCUGUCAUGACCACCAGCCACGAUAACAUCAAAACAAAAAACACCCUUGCCAUAACAUAAUAGAGGCUCAGCAUCAUCACCAUGAAAAUACCCAGUUCGUUAUCCCUAACUCUUCUCCUUACCAUCGAAGAAUCCUUCUUCUCGCCAUCAAAGAAAUCAAAACCUCCAUGACUACCAACUUCUCCUUCUCAGCCAAACAUCAACACCAAACCUCAAUUAGAACCUUCUACAGAUAUUUACCCACAAAACCCUAGUCUCCAUCGUGGACCCAGAUCCCUUUUCACAGCCUCUCAAUCAUUGAACCCAAGUUCUUCCCACCAACAGCAAAAUCGCAAGACAUAUUCUCUUAUGAGAUCAACUCAGGGCCCGCUCCUCCCACCAUUGCAGAUGUGAGACCACUGCGUCGGAGCCCCUAACUAACCACCAUCGACACUUUGGAGCUUCUCAGCCGGCACCUCUUCGACGUGUCAUUGCUCCUCACCAUUGCAACCACCGCACCAGCUGUUGUGUUCUCCGUCGCCCCAACCGCUGCAGCGGCCUUCAUUUUCCAAUUCCACAACAAGGCAAACCAGCCACCACCGUGGGUUCUCCACCACGCCGAUGAACCCAAGUUAGGGUUCACUAACUGAGCUCGAACAUAAUUUGUUAGGAAUUAUGGAUUAUUAGAUUUAGGGAUUAAUUUUAAGAUUAAAAUGUCUAAGUAUUAUUUAUUAAUACAUGUGUAAUAAAAUAAAUAUAAAAAAGUCAUGUGGAAUCGAUGACUAUGCAAAAAUAGAGUCACAUAAGCACAUAACACGGGUAGGGCCUUAUUUAGAUUUAAAAAAAUUAGACUUAAACUCGCGCGAUGCGCGGAGGAAUAAAGAAUCAUGAUUUUGCUAGAUAAGAAAGUGAUAUAUUAACUUAUAAAAAUAUUUGAAUAAAAUAAUUAAUGUGAUUUGGAUCCAUUUGGUGUCAAACAAUUUCGUGUCAUCACAAUGUAGCAAUAAGCGAGGAGCCGAGCACACUCGAGGGAAGCAAAUAACAUGAUUAAGAACAUACAGAUCGAAAAAGAAAAUAUGAACAGUAUAAUUGUUACAAAUAUCUUACAAAUUUCAUUACAAGUGGUAUAAUAGCUUCAUGAAUAACCAUAGCUAUAAUAGCUUCAUGAAUAACCAGAACAUCUACUUUUCUUGCAGAGUAUCAAUAGUACAAAAGGUCACUUAACAUUGGUAUAAAGAAAGAACAAUGAAGGAAUGGAGUAAUGAUAUGGCAUUAUUGAGGAAAGAAAAAGAAACAUAUGAUCUCUCUUCUUUCACAUAACAAAACUAAACCCAUGUUCUAACUUAAAUAUUUUAAAAAGAUUUCUCCAUAACUAUAGGAGUUCACCAAAGGUCAACCCUAAGUAUCUAUUUCUUUAUUUUGGUUCUAGAUGUAGUGAAAAAUUAAAAUGAAGAAUAAAUACUGGUCUAGAUUCAAUUGGUGGAGGAUGUGAUUGGUUCCCUUCAAGUCUGCAUUAGCAACUUCAUGUAGCAAUCCAGAAUUGAAUGUGGAUAGAAAAAUAAUGGUGUCUUACUGUCAUUAUCCAACUUCAAUGACACUUAACUCAUAACUUCAAGUCAAAGGCGAAGGCAAGAGAAGGUCACACAGUACUACUCCCCUUACAAAAUAUAAGGGUUUGGUUACAAUACUUCAAUGACACUCAGAAACUUACAUAAAUUUGAAAGAGAGAGAGAGUGAGAGGCAAGACUAAACUUUCUAUUUAACAUCAUCGACAAUACCCGACAUGCAUUUCUCCUCUUGCUUAGCUUUUCUCUUCCUUUAGAGUCUUUUUCUCCUGCAUAAAGAGAAGACAAAAAGGUUAAAAAGAAAAAAAAAAUAGAAGGCAUGAAUUACAACCUCUAAGGUUAACUACUUUCCUUGAGUAAUAAUAAGAUCAACAUCAGCCCUAUGAGAACUAAUAACAACUCUAAAUAGUGUAAUGGAUAAUUAAAGAUGCGUCACAAAUACUGAAAGGUUAAAAAAACAUGCAGAGAAGGAAAAAUACUGCAGCUCUAAUUUUUAACUUCCUCCUUCACAUACACAAUAACUUCUUUCAGUUCUUAUUAAUAGAAUUCUGUUUUCCCUUUAUUUUGCCAUGUAUGAAUUCUGUUUUUCCUGUAGUGGGAAUUUUGUUGUCCUCUCUACUGCCCCACAUAGGUUAGGCCUCGGCAUGAUUUUUAUUUUCCCUUCUAAUGCCAGCCUGCUUAAUUGGAACUUCUAACAAACAUAUACACAUCUAUUAUUAUAAUAUAGUAAUUGUGAAGCGCCGCCACCUCAUCAUUGAUGCUCCUUACAACACAACAGUGUCCAACUCAGUAUUAUUGCUUACGUGUCACAUUGAACUCUUGUCAAGUAUUCAGCAUGCAGAACUAGGACUAGGACUAGAAAAUCGCGUAAACACAGAACGAUGCCCAUUCCAAGCCUCCAAGAUGACACCACCUCGCUCAUUGACGCACACACCUCAGGCAGUAGUGGCAGGAACUCACAUCUGAACCCAACAAUUCAGCCACCUCUUCUGAUUCGCCCACGCUCACGGUGGAGAGAGUGACGACAUUCAAUGGAAGGAAGGGGGUUAGGGUUCAGAAGGGAUGUGUAUGCAUCUGUAUAAUAAAACAUAUAUGUUAGUUCAUCAGGAUCGAACUUCCCUGUUGUCAUGGUGGCGAUCGAAAUUGAAGGCGGUGUUUGGUUCAUCGCAGAUAAGAAAUUGACAGCGACAGAGUGUUGGGUUCAUGCGGAGACGAAAAAGCAAAAUAGACGACGGCGGAGGGAGAAGGGUCUGUUUCGCUUCCUUCGCCUCAACAUUGUAUUCUUCUGAUUCGGUAAGGAGAAUUGGCGGGGAGAGUGGCAGGCAGCAUUGGAUGACAACCAUCUUAUUCCGGUUCAACUUACUGUUGACUUGAUCCCAGAUAUUCCAAGUGAAACUAUAAGAAUACUUAAUUGUGGAGGCAGAUCUUUUGCUUCUGGAGAAGAUGCAGGUUUAAACUGAAUGUGGAUGACUGAAGGUGAUUGCCCUGGACUGGCUUUCGUGACCCUUAUUUAUUUCUCCUUCUAUUAUCUGCACCUUCUUAUGAGUCAUGAUUCAUGAAACUGAAAUUAAGUCAAAUGCAUAUUGGAUGGGAUUGUUGGCUCACUUGCAAGCUUCUUUUGUUUCAAGGAAUCUUGAUAUGUAAUUACAAUAUUUAAAUUUUUAUUUUCAUGUGAACAAAACUUGGUUUAAAGCUUUUAGUAUUGUCAAAGUUAGAAGUGCCUUUAAUUCUUUAUUAUGUGUUUAAUCGGUAACACCGUUGCUUCUUAGUUAUUGCAUUGUUGAAAUGUUGAUUGUGGGAUCCAGCACAUAUCUUGUAUCAAGGACCUAACUUUUCUAUAUGAAGUUGCUACUAUUGAGGAGACAUACCUUGGAUAUGAGCAGUCAAAGGCUGAUCGGGACACUGUUGCUUUGCUCAUUCAUGAAAUGAGCUUUUCUGCCUUAGCAUGAAACAAUAAACUGCAAAAGCCCUCUACUUUUGGCUCUCAGUAGGCAGAGGAACCCCACGCCAUGCCUCCACUCAUACAAUGAGAUAUUAAGAUUAAGGAGCAAGAUAGGGAGGUUAAAGCGCAUGAAGAUGGUUGCCAAGAAACCAGAUGCAAAAAUUACACAUAUGGUAGAGAUGCUUCGAUGUCUUGGUUCAAGAUACAAUUGCAAGUGUCAGAUUAAAUUGCAGCUGCAAAACUGUCAUUGUUUGACAGAGACGGCCAACAACUCUUGCACACUACAGCAUCAGAACUCUUACAACAUGUCAGUAACACAGAGCUCCCACAAGUGC